UCAGCUCCCCUGCACUAGUGCUUAAAGGCAAUUAAGCGAGUGAGUUAAGUUCCCAGCAGAUAGUAGUAGCUAGUGUCAUCUCUCUCUCUCGCAGUCUCGCUCGCUGAGCUCGCUCCAGUGGAUCGACAUACAUGGCAGGAACGAAGCGGAGGGGAGGAGAAGAGAUGAGCUGGAUAGGCAGGAAGCUGUUCCUGUACAACGUCACCAUCGGCCUCUACGCCAUGGAUUGGUGGGAGAGAUACCUCUUCAACAGCAUUGUUUUGAUACUACUGUGGUUCUUCUGCUACAAUAGUACCAAAUCUAUGUGGCAGGCAUUUGACAUCCAUCUCAAGAGUAGCGUGGAGCUAGGAACAAAGAACUGUUCCAUGGUGGCAUUCUCCUAAAUAAUAUGAGACGUUGCUGCGAAAAAAAUCACACGCAUGCGAAGAAUAGCGGUGUGAGAAUUGUGAGUGCUAAACAGUUAUUUAUAAAAAAGUUAACAAUUACCUCCAAUACCCAAGCAAGGUUGUUGUGCUAUGUUUAAGCAUGCUCUCACAAUGCAAGCGUGUUUGUAUAUGUAGCGCUUUAGUAAGAAUAAUGAGAAAGUAGUAGUCCUGCAUUUGUACAUUGUACUACAGCUGGUAGAGGGGAAGUACUAUCCCAGAUGCAGCCAUAUCUAUAUCAAAUUUGUUCAACC